rnacentral:rRNA from 1 species
GACGAACGCUGGCGGCGUGCCUAAUACAUGCAAGUAGAACGCUGAAGGGAGAGCUUGCUCUUCUGGAUGAGUUGCGAACGGGUGAGUAACGCGUAGGUAACCUGCCUGGUAGCGGGGGAUAACUAUUGGAAACGAUAGCUAAUACCGCAUAACAUUGACUAUUGCAUGAUAGUCAAUUGAAAGGUGCAAAUGCACCACUACCAGAUGGACCUGCGUUGUAUUAGCUAGUUGGUGGGGUAACGGCUCACCAAGGCGACGAUACAUAGCCGACCUGAGAGGGUGAUCGGCCACACUGGGACUGAGACACGGCCCAGACUCCUACGGGAGGCAGCAGUAGGGAAUCUUCGGCAAUGGACGGAAGUCUGACCGAGCAACGCCGCGUGAGUGAAGAAGGUUUUCGGAUCGUAAAGCUCUGUUGUAAGAGAAGAACGAGUGUGAGAGNGGAAAGUUCACACNGNGACGG